rnacentral:rRNA from 1 species
UACAGAGGGGGCAAGCGUUAUUCGGAAUUAUUGGGCGUAAAGGGCUCGUAGGUGGCCAACUAAGUCAGACGUGAAAUCCCUCGGCUUAACCGGGGAACUGCGUCUGAUACUGGAUGGCUGGAGUUUGGGAGAGGGAUGCGGAAUUCCAGGUGUAGCGGUGAAAUGCGUAGAUAUCUGGAGGAACACCGGUGGCGAAGGCGGCAUCCUGGACCGGUAUUGACGCUGAGGCGCGAAAGCUAGGGGAGCAAACGGG